rnacentral:rRNA from 1 species
UACAGAGGUCUCAAGCGUUGUUCGGAUUCAUUGGGCGUAAAGAGCUCGUAGGCGGCUCAGUAAGUCAGGUGUGAAACCUCCAGGCUCAACCUGGAGACGCCACCUGAUACUGCUGUGGCUAGAGUCCGGUAGGGGAGCGUGGAAUUCCUGGUGUAGCGGUGAAAUGCGCAGAUAUCAGGAGGAACACCAGCGGCGAAGGCGGCGCUCUGGGCCGGAACUGACGCUGAGGAGCGAAAGCGUGGGUAGCAAACAGG